rnacentral:rRNA from 1 species
UACGGGGGGGGCAAGCGUUGUUCGGAAUUACUGGGCGUAAAGGGUUCGUAGGUGGCCAACUAAGCCAGACGUGAAAUCCCUCAGCUUAACUGGGGAACUGCGUCUGGGACUGGAUGGCUUGAGUGCAGGAGAGGAACGCGGAAUUCCAGGUGUAGCGGUGAAAUGCGUAGAUAUCUGGAGGAACACCGGUGGCGAAGGCGGCAUCCUGGACCAAUAUUGACGCUGAGGAGCGAAAGCCAGGGGAGCAAACGGG